CUGGAAGCGUCUCACGGCGCACCCAGAAACCCUAUGUGAACUUAUACCACUAUGUUGCCUCGGCGCGAGCCGGGGGCUUCUAUAAGCCCCCCCUUACCUCGGUGAGGAGCAGGCCCGCCGGCGGCCCUAUAAACUCUUGUUUUAACGUAUCUCUUCUGAGUACAAAUUAUAAAUGAAUCA
rnacentral:misc_RNA from 1 species